rnacentral:rRNA from 1 species
CCUACGGGAGGCAGCAGUGGGGAAUAUUGCGCAAUGGGCGAAAGCCUGACGCAGCGACGCCGCGUGAGGGAUGAAGGUCUUCGGAUCGUAAACCUCUGUCAGCAGGGAAGAACGGUCACUGUGCUAAUCAGCAGUGAAUUGACCGUACCUGCAAAGGAAGCACCGGCUAACUCCGUGCCAGCAGCCGCGGUAAUACGGAGGGUGCGAGCGUUAAUCGGAAUUACUGGGCGUAAAGCGCUCGUAGGCGGUAUGUCAAGUCAAGGGUGAAAUCCCCGCGCUCAACGUGGGAACUGCCUUUGAAACUGGCAGACUGGAGUGUGGGAGAGGAGAGUGGAAUUCGAGGUGUAGGAGUGAAAUCCGUAGAUAUCUGGAGGAACAUCAGUGGCGAAGGCGACUAUCUGGCACAUAACUGACGCUGAGGAGCGAAAGCGUGGGUAGCAAACAGGAUUAGAUACCCGAGUAGUC